UACGGGGGGGGCAAGCGUUGUUCGGAAUUACUGGGCGUAAAGGGCUUGUAGGUGGCCAACUAAGUCAGACGUGAAAUCCCUCGGCUUAACCGGGGAACUGCGUCUGAUACUGGAUGGCUCGAGUGUGGUAGAGGGAUGCGGAAUUCCAGGUGUAGCGGUGAAAUGCGUAGAUAUCUGGAGGAACACCGGUGGCGAAGGCGGCAUCCUGGACCAUAACUGACACUGAUAAGCGAAAGCCAGGGGAGCAAACGGG
rnacentral:rRNA from 1 species